AUGGGGGAGGAGGCCGGCGGCUACGAUUUUGACUUCGGGGGAGGGGGCUAUGGCGGGUACGACGGGAGGGUGACGGAGUGGGAGACGGGCCUGCCGGGGUGCGACGAGCUGACCCCGCUGUCGCAGCCGCUGGUGCCGCCGGGGCUCGCCGCGGCGUUCCGCAUCCCGCCGGAGCCGGGGCGGACGCUCCUCGACGUGCACCGCGCGUCCUCCGCCACCGUGUCCCGCCUCCGCUCCGCCUCCUCGUCCCCCUCCUCGGGCAACGGCCACGCCACGGGGGGCGGGUCCUUCCCCUCCUUCCCCGGCAAGGCGGCGGCGGCGGCGGAGGCCGGGGAGGACAGCGGCAACCGGGACAACAACUCGGCGGAGUCGGGCGGGGACAAGUCGGCGGCGGCGGCGACGAAGCGGGCGCGGCUGGUGUGGACGCCGCAGCUGCACAAGCGGUUCGUGGAGGUGGUGGCGCACCUGGGGAUCAAGAGCGCGGUGCCCAAGACCAUCAUGCAGCUGAUGAACGUGGAGGGGCUCACCCGCGAGAACGUCGCCAGCCACCUCCAGAAGUACCGCCUCUACGUCAAGCGGAUGCAGGGCCUCUCCAACGAGGGGCCCUCCGCCUCCGACCACAUCUUCGCCUCCACCCCGGUGCCGCCCAGCCUCCGCGAGCCCCAGGUGCCGGUGCCGCACGCCGCCGCCAUGGCCCCCGCCAUGUACCACCACCACCCGGCCCCCAUGGGCGGCGUCGCCGCCGGCCACGGCGGCUACUACCAGCAGCAGCACAGCGGCCACGCCGUCUACAACGGGUACGGCGGACACGGCCACGGCGGCGGCGUCUCCUCCUAUCCGCACUACCACCACGGCGACCAGUAG
rnacentral:rRNA from 1 species